GAUGGGGUUCGAGUUGCGUCACGCCGCCUUCUUCCUCCGUUCCGGUCCCGAUUCAGAUGUCAAAGCAGGCGGGGAGUCGAGCCUUGUUUCUUUUCCGCCUCUGCCGCCAUGGUUCUGCCGCCAUCUCCACCGUUUGUGGAAGAUCAGCGAUUCAGCGCCGUUGUUUCGUUCGUGACGUUGCUGCUGUUGUCACGCAAUUUCCGCCGAGGCAGCAGGAGAUGCCGCUGAAAUCUGUCCUCUGCUCAAGAACCGGCUCAAGCCUCACUCUCUCCCUUUUUCUAUUGAAUUAUGGUAUUUCUAUAAUUGAUUAUGCAAGAGAUAAAACUAAGUUCGUGGUUUACUAAUGUAUCAAGAAAUUUCCUUGCUUGCCUCGUGUGAUAAGAAAAUAUGGCAUAAACUGAUUUCU
rnacentral:lncRNA from 1 species